rnacentral:tRNA from 1 species
AGGGCUGUAGCUCAAUGGUAAAGCAUGUGUUUAGCAUACUCUAGGGCUUGGGAUCAAUCCCCAGCACCACUG